rnacentral:lncRNA from 1 species
GCGAUCCGCGCCUGCGGAGGAGUUUUACAAAGAGCACUGUCCCUCCACACAGCGCACGCAACAAAGGACAUGGACAACCUUUUUCAGUUGGUACACAGGAGCACCGUAUUUUGCAGGAAUCUCAGCUCUGAAAGUGUGACAGUUCUGACGCUGUUGAGGAGGUGGAGAAAUGGCUCCCCAGGCUGCAUGCCCUUGUCGUGGGACCUGGCCUAGGUAGGGACGACCUUCUUCUCAACAACGUGAGGGGCAUCUUGGAAUCAACCAAGGCCAGGGACAUCCCUGUCGUCAUUGACGCGGACGGCCUGUGGCUGAUUGCUCAGCGGCCAGCCCUCGU